UACGAAGGGGGCUAGCGUUGUUCGGAAUUACUGGGCGUAAAGCGCACGUAGGCGGUUUUCCAAGUUGGAGGUGAAAUCCCUGGGCUUAACCCCGGAACUGCCCGCAAGACUGGGAGACUCGAGUCCGAGAGAGGUGAGUGGAAUUUCCAGUGUAGAGGUGAAAGGCGUAGAUAGUGGGAAGAACACCAGUGGCGAAGGCGGCUCACUGGCUCGGUACUGACGCUGAGGUGCGACAGCGUGGGGAGCAAACAGG
rnacentral:rRNA from 1 species